UACAGAGGGUGCAAGCGUUAAUCGGAAUUACUGGGCGUAAAGCGUGCGUAGACGGUUGCGUAAGUCAGAUGUGAAAGCCCCGGGCUCAACCUGGGAAUUGCAUUUGAGACUGCGUAGCUAGGGUGCGGAAGAGGGAAGCGGAAUUUCCGGUGUAGCGGUGAAAUGCGUAGAUAUCGGAAGGAACACCAGUGGCGAAAAGCGGCUUCCUGGUCCAGCACCGACGUCAGGCACGAAAGCGUGGGGAGCAAACAGG
rnacentral:rRNA from 1 species